rfam:Danio rerio chromosome 4, GRCz11 reference primary assembly.
ACUUCGAUUAGCUCAGUUAGUAGAGCGGAGGACUGUAGGUGGGAUGAUGGCAAUCCUUAGGUCGCUGGUUCGACUCCGGCUCGAAGGA